rnacentral:rRNA from 1 species
CCCUGUCCGGUAGGACUGGGNAACCCGUUCNACCUCCUUCGUGAUAGGGAUAGGGGCUUGUAAUUGUUCCCCUUGAACGAGGAAUUCCCAGUAAC